UGAAUUUCGGGGUUAGGGCUUUGGUCGUGCCACAGGUAUGUACUCCUCUGACAGCUCAUCACUUCCUGAUGAGCCGUAAUGCCAUUAAUUUGGUGUUGCGGGGAAUCUGGACUGUUACUUUGAAAAAAUUAGAGUGUUUAAAGCAAGCUAACGCUUGAAUACAUUAGCAUGGAAUAAUGGAAUAGGACGUUCGAUCCUAUUUUGUUGGUUUCUAGGAUUGACGUAAUGAUUAAUAGGGAUAGUUGGGGGCAUCAGUAUUCAAUUGUCAGAGGUGAAAUUCUUGGAUUUAUUGAAGACUAACUACUGCGAAAGCAUUUGCCAAGGAUGUUUUCAUUAAUCAAGAACGAAAGUUAGGGGAUCGAAGACGAUCAGAUACC
rnacentral:rRNA from 1 species